UGGGGAAUUUUGGACAAUGGGCGAAAGCCUGAUCCAGCAAUGCCGCGUGUGUGAAGAAGGCCUUCGGGUUGUAAAGCACUUUUGUCCGGAAAGAAAUCCUCUGGGUUAAUACCUCGGGGGGAUGACGGUACCGGAAGAAUAAGCACCGGCUAACUACGUGCCAGCAGCCGCGGUAAUACGUAGGGUGCAAGCGUUAAUCGGAAUUACUGGGCGUAAAGCGUGCGCAGGCGGUUUUGUAAGACGGACGUGAAAUCCCCGGGCUUAACCUGGGAACUGCAUUCGUGACUGCAAGGCUAGAGUAUGGCAGAGGGGGGUUAGAAUUCCACGUGUAGCAGUGAAAUGCGUAGAGAUGUGGAGGAAUACCGAUGGCGAAGGCAGCCCCCUGGGCCAAUACUGACGCUCAUGCACGAAAGCGUGGGGAGCAAACAGGAUUAGAUACCCUGGUAGUCCACGCCCUAAACGAUGUCAACUAGUUGUUGGGGAUUCAUUUCCUUAGUAACGUAGCUAACGCGUGAAGUUGACCGCCUGGGGAGUACGGUCGCAAGAUUAAAACUCAAAGGAAUUGACGGGGUCAUAGCUGUUUCCU
rnacentral:rRNA from 1 species